CCUACGGGAGGCAGCAGUGGGGAAUAUUGCACAAUGGGGGAAACCCUGAUGCAGCAAUGCCGCGUGAGUGAAGAAGGCCUUCGGGUCGUAAAGCUCUGUCCUACGGGAAGAAGCAUGACGGAAUAAUAGCAGGAAGCCCUGGCGAACUACGUGCAAGCAGCAGCGGCAAAACGUAGGGGGCGAGCGUCGUCCGGAAUCAGCGUGCGUAACGGGUGCGCAGUCGGCCGAUGAAGCCGGGGGGGAAAUGCUACGGUUCAACCGGAGGAAGCCCUUGGAACUGAAGGGCUUGAGUGCAGGAGAGGGGAGUGGAAUUCCUAGUGUAGCGGUGAAAUGCGUAGAUAUUAGGAGGAACACCAGUGGCGAAGGCGACUCUCUGGGGUGUAACUGACGCUGAUGCACGAAAGCGUGGGGAGCAAACAGGAUUAGAUACCCCAGUAGUC
rnacentral:rRNA from 1 species